ACCGGCACCAAUUACAAAAACUAGCUUCGAAAUUUGAGAAUUAUUCUCAAUUUUGAAAAACUCACCCAUAUCCUCGAUCAGGAAGUACCUGCAUUAUCUAGUCACCCAUCCACUGAUCAACGAGCUGUAUUUAAAAAGUGGAUGGACGAAGAUAACAAGGUGAAGUGCUAUAUCUUAGCAUCCAUGUCCAAUGAUCUUCAGCAAUAGCAUGAACAUAUGAGGAC
rnacentral:lncRNA from 1 species